CGCCAUGCCCCCACGCCGCCGCCUUCUCUCCGCACUGCAGCCCGUAUCGGCGUCUCCCACGCCUCCGUACAGUGUCCAACGGAGGGGAUCAGUGGUAAGAGUCAGUUACCUAUGUUGAAGAACUCAAACCUCGAGGAUGAUCUGAACGUUGUACAAUGGAGGGGAUCAGUGGAAGGAGAACCUGACAACUUGAAAAUCAAUCGUGAUGGUUUCUUUCAUGAAGAGAGUUGCAGUUUAUGCAGCUUGUGUUCUUUUCAAACAAGGUAAUGCACUUCACCAUAUUGAAUAAUUCUUAGGAUGCAAAUUACAUUCGAAAAGGCAUCUGGCAGUUGCUGUUGAAACAAAGGAUAGGAGCACACCGACACAAAUCCAAUCCUUAGAUGUUAGCUUUUCCUUUCUCAAAAAAUAAAAAGAUGUUAGCUCUUCCAUGUUUUCUGUAAUAGUAGCAUAGAUAAAAAGGCUGGCACGUUAAUGACAGAUCAUACUAAUGCUUAACAUAUAGACCUAUCAUGCAUAUAACCAUCUGUAAUUCCUUGAACAGCUGUUGAUCUAUGCUUUCUGAUACGUACUUUCUGAUUUGGUCCUAGCAAUUCCUUAUUAUGCAGCAAAUUAGAGUUCUAGAGGCACUUCUUUAUGUGUUCCAACUCUUUUGAAGUUACAAGGAUGGGUUGAUGGCUUGAUGCUACGAAUUGUUUGGGUCGACUCGGUCUUUCAUCGCCAUAAGACACAAACAAACUCAUAUUUAUAACAGGCUGAGUUAUUUUUAUUUUGGUUUUUAGAUAAUUUAGAAACAAAGUGGAUUCGAAAUUGUAAAUGAUUUUGCCUAUGCCACUAUAUUAGGAGCGGGCGGGGAAGACAAAAACUUGCUUGACUGCUUACCCCUUGGGUUUAUUUGUUACCCAUUUGUGAGUAUAUUUGCUGCGCCUUAUUUAAUCAUUUAUUAACAACAGUGCCCACUGGAUGAAAAAUUGACAACGUUUAGUUCUCUUUGUUUAUUGUCUUGGGAGUUGCUAGCAUUUAUAGUGAGUAUUGAGCAAGUUUCUUGCCCAGUGACACGAUUGUUUGAGAGAAGACACAAGAUUGAGUAUUCAAAGCUUUCAUGAUCUGGCCAUCCUUGUAAGAAAUAAUUUGUUAAAUCAAAGCACGAUUAUUUUAAUAAUACUUUGAC